rnacentral:tRNA from 1 species
GGUAAAAUGGCUGAUAAUAGGCAAUAAAUUGUAAAUUUAUCCAUGAAUAAAGAAUUCUUUUACCA